GGAAAAGCAAUGAUUGGGAGUAGUAUCAGCAGCGCGCCAUCAGAGAGGGGAACACCUGGGUGCGAGUUUCCUUGGAGAGCGGGCUGAGAAGUCGCCCAGGAGCUGUUGAGGUGAGCGCAAGCAGCCUUAACCGGGAUGCGCCGUUACCGCAGUUGAGUGCCUGGCACGACACGUGCCAGGAAUUAAGGUGGUACCGCGAAAUGAGCUUUUCGUCCUUAGG
rnacentral:ncRNA from 1 species